rnacentral:rRNA from 1 species
GUGUCAGCAGCCGCGGUAAUACAGAGACUGCAAGCGUUAUUCGGAUUCACUGGGCGUAAAGGGUGCGCAGGUGGCCAGGUGUGUGAGGCGUGAAAGCCCGGGGCUUAACCCCGGAAUUGCACCUCAAACUACUUGGCUAGAGCAUUGGAGAGGGGAGCAGAAUUCACGGUGUAGCAGUGAAAUGCGUAGAUAUCGUGAGGAAUACCAGAGGCGAAGGCGGCUCCCUGGACAAUUGCUGACACUCAGGCACGAAAGCGUGGGGAGCAAAAGGGAUUAGAAACCCCUGUAGUCC